rnacentral:rRNA from 1 species
GACGAACGCUGGCGGCGUGCUUAACACAUGCAAGUCGAACGGAAAGGCCCUGCUUUUGUGGGGUGCUCGAGUGGCGAACGGGUGAGUAACACGUGAGUAACCUGCCCUUGACUUUGGGAUAACUUCAGGAAACUGGGGCUAAUACCGGAUAGGAGCUCCUGCUGCAUGGUGGGGGUUGGAAAGUUUCGGCGGUUGGGGAUGGACGCGCGGCUUAUCAGCUUGUGGGUGGGGUAGUGGCUUACCAAGGCUUUGACGGGUAGCCGGCCUGAGAGGGUGACCGGCCACAUUGGGACUGGGAUACGGCCCAGACUCCUACGGGAGGCAGCGGUGGGGAAUAUUGCACAAUGGGCGGAAGCCCGAUGCAGCAACGCCGCGUGCGGGAUGACGGCCUUCGGGUUGUAAACCGCUUUCGCCUGUGACGAAGCGUGAGUGACGGUAAUGUGUAAAGAAGCACCGGCUAACUACGUG